rnacentral:rRNA from 1 species
UAUACUGCAAGUCGAGCGGACAGAUGGGAGCUUGCUCCCUGAUGUUAGCGGCGGACGGGUGAGUAACACGUGGGUAACCUGCCUGUAAGACUGGGAUAACUCCGGGAAACCGGGGCUAAUACCGGAUGGUUGUUUGAACCGCAUGGUUCAAACAUAAAAGGUGGCUUCGGCUACCACUUACAGAUGGACCCGCGGCGCAUUAGCUAGUUGGUGAGGUAACGGCUCACCAAGGCAACGAUGCGUAGCCGACCUGAAGGGUGAUCGGCCACACUGGGACUGAGACACGGCCCAGACUCCUACGGGAGGCAGCAGUAGGGAAUCUUCCGCAAUGGACGAAAGUCUGACGGAGCAACGCCGCGUGAGUGAUGAAGGUUUUCGGAUCGUAAAGCUCUGUUGUUAGGGAAGAACAAGUACCGUUCGAAUAGGGCGGUACCUUGACGGUACCUAACCAGAAAGCCACGGCUAACUACGUGCCAGCAGCCGCGGUAAUACGUAGGUGGCAAGCGUUGUCCGGAAUUAUUGGGCGUAAAGGGCUCGCAGGCGGUUUCUUAAGUCUGAUGUGAAAGCCCCCGGCUCAACCGGGGAGGGUCAUUGGAAACUGGGGAACUUGAGUGCAGAAGAGGAGAGUGGAAUUCCACGUGUAGCGGUGAAAUGCGUAGAGAUGUGGAGGAACACCGUGGCGAAGGCGACUCUCUGGUCUGUAACUGACGCUGAGGAGCGAAAGCGUGGGGAGCGAACAGGAUUAGAUACCCUGGUAGUCCACGCCGUAAACGAUGAGUGCUAAGUGUUAGGGGGUUUCCGCCCCUUAGUGCUGCAGCUAACGCAUUAAGCACUCCGCCUGGGGAGUACGGUCGCAAGACUGAAACUCAAAGGAAUUGACGGGGGCCCGCACAAGCGGUGG